GGUAUAUCUCACAAUUCAAAGGAUUGAUUGCUGUGAUUAACAAUUGAAAGUGAAGAGACAAAAAGAGGAUUAGGCUAAGAGAAGAGAUGCUGGUUCAAUUCCAAACUGGAACACUAUUCGGUUAUUUGAUCAUAACUGGAGUUGUAGAACUCGGAUUUGGGUCCACUUUAUAUGGAUGGAAAGAUAAGACAUAGACCUAAAACUUUCAUGAAGGGUCCAAAACUCAAUUCUGCCGUUUCCAAGUUCAAAUAUUAGCAACAACGGAGAAGUCGGAACCUGUCCUGCAGCUCAAACACUGUUCGGUUUUCAGCUCAUAUCUUGAGUUCUAGAAGUCCAAAUGAGCUCUGGUUUUUUUUGUUGGAAAGCUGAGACAAUUGCCCACAGCUUUCAUGGAACAAAGGGCUCAAAUUCUGAUGUUAGCAAUGAUGUUUUGGCCAGCCAACAAUAUCAAAAAUCUGCCAACAAUUUCAAGAACCAGCAGCCAAUAAUGUCAAAAACCAGCCACCAAAUCAAUGGUUGGCCACCAACUAUUUUCUUAGUCCACCAAUCAAUAGUUCUGAAUCUUAGCCUAUAAAAGGAGGCAUUUGCCAUGUAUUUAGAUAUAUUAUUUUUCAGAUCAAAAUCAUGUUCUUGUUUUCUCUCUUUAUAUCUUUGUAAUGUUCAAGUUUUCUUUCAUGUUAUAUUAA
rnacentral:lncRNA from 1 species